rnacentral:rRNA from 1 species
UACGUAGGGUGCGAGCGUUGUCCGGAAUUAUUGGGCGUAAAGAGCUUGUAGGUGGCUCGUUGCGUCGGGAGUGAAAACCCGCGGCUCAACCGCGGGCCUGCUUCCGAUACGGGCGGGCUAGAGUUCGGCAGGGGAGACUGGAAUUCCUGGAUGUAGCGGUGGAAUGCGCAGAUAUCAGGAGGAACACCGGUGGCGAAGGCGGGUCUCUGGGCCGAUACUGACACUGAGAAGCGAAAGCGUGGGGAGCGAACAGG